rnacentral:siRNA from 1 species
UAAACUCGCGGUGCCACGGCUU